UCAAGAUUUGUAUUUCUUUUCUUUUUUUUUUUUUUCUUUUUGCCUUUUCUAGGGCUGCAUCUGUGGCCUAUGGAGGUUCCCAGGCUAGGGGUCUAAUUGGAGCUGUAGCCACCGGCCUACACCACAGCCACAGCAACACCAUAUCCGAGCCUCGUCCGGGACCUACACCACAGCUCACGGCAACGCCGGAUCCUUAACCCAUUGAGCAAGGCCAGCGAUCAAACCCGCAAUCUCAUGGUUCCUAGUCUGAUUCGUUAACCACUACGCCACGACGGGAACUCCUUUUUUUAUUUCUAAUCAAUACAGAAUUGCUACAUGUUAAUAUAAACGACACACCACCCAGCCACACAGUGAUGAGAAGGUGCAGAUUUGUGGAAAGGAAUCAGCCUGAGGACUCUAGGAAAUUCCCAAUAGGGAACAAUGCGUCUGCUUCAGAGUGUCAACGUGAAAAGCUGCCAUCAGCAAGGAGAAUCUUCCUAAAACAGGCACAAAUGAUGGCUUCAUGGUUAAAGUAAGAGUGGAUAAGAAGGGCCGAAGAAGCUGUCGAGGCUCUCUUGAAGACGGCCGAUGUGCCAAUGGUACGUCAACAUCAAAAAUCCAUCCACCUGCGUCCUCCACGAGUGGAGUCAUCUAAGAGAUCUCACCAUCAUAAGAUUCCACACAUAAGUGAUAUGAUGCUUGUCUUUGACUUCUGUCACUUAGUAGGAUCAUCUGUAGGUCCGUGUUGCUGCACACGGCAUUACUGCAUUCUUUUUUAUGUCUGCUUGAAACAAGACAAUUCAGGAAAACCUGAUAGGAUGGAGUUAAAACGGAUCCAAACAGCACAGGCAUUUGAGAACCCGAGAUUUCAAAGCGGGCGCCGACGCACAAGGCAAGAUGAUGUUUACGAUCCAUCACGGGUUCCUGAAACGCUUAAAGAGAGUGAUGAAUCUGGAAUGGAUGUUUGGCAACACCCUCGAGAAAGCAGUGUUUCUCCUGAUACACCUGCUCUGAUUAUUUGCUCACGUGGCUGCACAGAUGAGCCUGCAAGGGACAGAGGAGUCCAGGGUGGCUGGAUCAGGGCAUCUAAUGCAUGGAACCCCUGAAGACUUUGUUUGACCAAAGAGUGUCUUGGCAUUGGUUGGUCUUCUGGUGUUGGUCGUUACCGUGAGGUUUUGAAAGUCACCCCUUCUGCAACAAGGCAUUUCAGGAAAGGAAACAGGAUUCUUGUAUACGGUAAGAAAACAAAACAAAACAACACAAUCUUAAAGGUAUCCUCCUUCUGGGGAAAAAAAAUUGCAAUUUUUCAUCUUAAAAACGAUUGGAAUUGCAAGGCAAGCGGGGACAACGUCUUUUAUGUGUGUCUCUCUGUGAGAGCACACAAGGAUAACAGGAGAGCAUAAUGGGUAUAUUCUAAUUCUAGUGUUAGAGAAGGUUUCUCAACCUUGGCACUAGUGACAGCUGUCUCUGGAUCGCUCUUCGGCUGGGGAACGUCCUGUGCCUCAAGGAUGCUGAGCAGUAGCCCUGACUUCUGCCUGCUAGAUGCAGUGGUACCCUCUCUAGGUGACACACCAAAAAUGACGCAGCCUUUGUCACUAGCCUCGUAGGGGGACAGCAGCGCCCCAGUUGAGAACUACUAUGUGGGAGGGAUAACAUCGUUUCUUAUAGUUUCUGCUGUUGGAGACAUUUGUUUUCCUUUUCUCAUGUUAUUUAUCGUCUGGAAUCUUCCUGCCCUCACUUCCCAGAAAACAUAAGUUGCCUGAGAGAAGGGAUCGUGUCCACUUUGCUUAGCAUACGCAGGUCGUAUCAGCUUUAAGACCUAACUCCUUGAAUACAGGAUAGAAAUCAAAACAAAUCUGCUUAUGCUUUGAGUAGGUAAAACAUGCUGUGAUCUCAUUUAUAAUAUAUUUAAACCUCUCCAAGUCAUUAAGCGUUACAUUAAAUGGAAUUUCAUGGAUUAGUGAAAUUUGCAAACAAUAAAAAUCCUUCACGU
rnacentral:lncRNA from 1 species